rnacentral:rRNA from 1 species
CGGUUGAUCCCGCCGGACCUGACUGCUAUCGGAUUGGUACUAAGCCAUGCGAGUCAUUGUAGCAAUACAAGGCGGACGGCUCAGUAACACGUAUUCAACCUAACCUAUGGACGUGGAUAACCUCGGGAAACUGAGAAUAAACCACGAUAGAUCAUGAUGCCUGGAAUGGCUUAUGGUUCAAACAAUUUAUUGCCAUAGGAUGGGACUGCGGCCUAUCAGCUUGUUGGUGAGGUAAUGGCCCACCAAGGCUAUAACAGGUACGGGCUCUGAGAGGAGAAGCCCGGAGAUGGGUACUGAGACACGGACCCAGGCCCUAUGGGGCGCAGCAGGCGAGAAACCUUAGCAAUGUGCGAAAGCACGACUGGGUCAGUCCGAGUGAUUCCUGAUAAAGGAGUCUUUUGCCUGUCCUAAAAGCACAGGUGAAUAAGGGGUGGGCAAGUCUGGUGUCAGCCGCCGCGGUAAUACCAGCACCUCGAGUGGUCAGGACGUUUAUUGGGCCUAAAGCAUCCGUAGCCGGCUCUGCAAGUCUUCGGUUAAAUCCACCUGCUCAACAGAUGGGCCGCUGGAGAUACUACAGAGCUAGGGAGUGGGAGAGGCAGACGGUAUUCAGUGGGUAGGGGUAAAAUCCUCUGAUCCAUUGAGGACCACCAGUGGCGAACGCGGUCUGCCAGAACACGUUCGACGGUGAGGGGUGAAAGCUGGGGGAGCAAACCGGAUUAGAUACCCGGGUAGUCCCAGCUGUAAACGAUGCAACUCGGUGAUGCAUUGGCUUAUGGCCAAUGCAUUGCCGCAUGGAAGCCGUUAAGUUUGCCGCCUGGGAAGUACGGACGCAAGUCUGAA